CUACGGGCUGCACCAGUAGGGAAUAUUGGUCAAUGGACGCAAGUCUGAACCAGCCACGCCGCGUGAAGGAUGAAGGCCCUAUGGGUUGUAAACUUCUUUUGUCAGGGAAAAAACCCCCAUACGUGUAUGGGGCUGAUUGUACCUGGAGAAUAAGGAUCGGCUAACUCCGUGCCAGCAGCCGCGGUAAUACGGAGGAUCCAAGCGUUGUCCGGAUUUAUUGGGUUUAAAGGGUGCGUAGGCGGAUUAUUAAGUCAGUGGUGAAAGCCGGCAGCUCAACUGUCGAACUGCCAUUGAAACUGAUAGUCUCGAAUGUAGUAGAGGUAGGCGGAAUGUAUCAUGUAGCGGUGAAAUGCUUAGAUAUGAUACAGAACACCAAUUGCGAAAGCAGCUUACUAUGCUAUGAUUGACGCUGAGGCACGAAAGCGUGGGGAUCAAACAGGAUUAGAUACCCCGGUAGUC
rnacentral:rRNA from 1 species